ensembl:lncRNA
UAAAAUACUGAGCUGUGUGGUAAUGAAGAACUCUUGGAAUAUCUUACAUUGUUGUCUUCCAUGGAAAGCCUCUUACAAAGCCCUCCUCUCAGGACAAGAACAUUCAUCCCCACGUCUCCCUUGUAUUGGUGCUGAUAAUCUGUAGGCGAUCGAUGUGAUCAGCAAGUUAUUGAUCAGCGCUGACAGCAUCAAAGGCGGUGAGCAGAGGUUUAUGAUACAGGAUAUUUCACUGUGGGCGUCUAUAUCUUUGGUCGCGGCACCACCCUGGUUGUUACCGAAAGGUCAGUGGAGCGGCCCAAAGUGAGCGUCUACCCAGCGACGGGAGCUGAUUUAAAGGGCCGGCGCUCCCUGCUGUGUGUAGCCAGAG